CCUACGGGGUGCAGCAGUGGGGGAUAUUGCACAAUGGGGGGAACCCUGAUGCAGCGACGCCGCGUGGGUGAAGAAGCGCCUCGGCGCGUAAAGCCCUGUCAGCAGGGAAGAAAAUGACGGUACCUGAAGAAGAAGCCCCGGCUAACUACGUGCCAGCAGCCGCGGGAAUACGGAGGGGGCAAGCGUUAUCCGGAUUUACUGGGGGUAAAGGGGGCGAAGACGGGGAUGCAAGCCAGGAGUGAAAGCCCGGGGCCCAACCCCGGGACUGCUCUUGGAACUGGGUGGCUGGAGUGCAGGAGGGGCAGGCGGAAUUCGUGGUGUAGCGGUGAAAUGCGUAGAUAUCAGGAGGAACCCCGGUGGCGAAGGCGGCCUGCCGGACUGCAACUGACGUUGAGGCCCGAAAGCGUGGGGAGCAAACAGGAUUAGAUACCCUUGUAGUC
rnacentral:rRNA from 1 species